rnacentral:lncRNA from 1 species
CAUUUAAUAAUGUAGAAGUAGUUUCCCCUAAGAAAUGUGAGGCCACUGUGGGUGUUUGCCGGCCUUUAAACUAGUACAAACUUUGAAUUAUUUGGAUUCAACACAAGCAAUUUUAAGUAAUGAAUUCAAGGUUUUAACAAUCUUCUCACAGAACAAACUUAAUGAAAUUGGGAGCCUUUUGAAAGCCACACUGACUGAGAAGAUAAAGAAGUUUGAUGGAUACCUGUGGAGAUUCAGGAGAUCAGUGCAGCAUGUUGGUUUCCUGUCUGAAGCAGCUGGGUGGCCUUCAAUAGCCUUGCAAAGGGCAGCAGGAUUCCUGCAAAGUGGGGUUACAGCUGUCACCCAGGUGUGGAAGCAAAGUGGAAUUGAGCACAUUCUGAGAAGCAGGAUCCCACUUUACUUGGAGAAAAUUCAAGAUGUUGUCCAGCAAAUGCAGAAUGAAUUACAAAGUAAGCAAAAUGGUGCAAAACAAGAAGAGGGACAAUGUCAGUGCAGGGCAAACCAAACUUCACUGUAAACUAUAAAACAUACUGAACAACACAAAAGUUUCUA